rnacentral:misc_RNA from 1 species
UAGGACUACUAGGGUUUCUAAUCCUGUUUGCUCCCCACGCUUUCGUCCAUCAGCGUCAGUAAAGACUUAGCAACCUGCCUACGCUAUCGGUGUUCUGUGUAAUAUCUAUGCAUUUCACCGCUACACUACACAUUCCAGCUGCUUCAAUCUCACUCAAGACAUACAGUUUCAAAGGCAGUUCGACAGUUAAGCUGUCGGAUUUCACCUCUGACUUAUAUGCCCGCCUACGGACCCUUUAAACCCAAUAAAUCCGGAUAACGCUUGCAUCCUCCGUAUUACCGCGGCUGCUGGCA